GACGAACGCUGGCGGCGUGCUUAACACAUGCAAGUCGAGCGGAGCGGCGAACGGGUGAGCAACGCGUGAGUAACUGCCCCCCUCUCUGGGAUAACAGUUGGAAACGGCUGCUAAUACCGGAUAGUGGGGGAUGACUCGCGGCCCAUCAGCUUGUGGGUGAGGUAGAGGCCUACCAAGGCGACGACGGGUAGCCGGCCUGAGAGGGCGACCGGCCACAGUGGGCUGAGAUACGGCCUGAAGUCAUACGGGAGGCAGCAGAGGGGAAUAGUGCACCAAGGGGGAAGCCCUGAUGCAGGAACGCCGCGUGCGGGAUGACGGCCUUCGGGUAGUAAACCGCUUUCAGCCAUGACGCGGUAGUGGCAGAAGAAGCACCGGCUAACUACGUGCUAGCAGCCGCGGUAAUAC
rnacentral:rRNA from 1 species